CCCCGGAGGAAAGUUGCAAAGCACUUUGAAGAGAGAGUUAAAGAGGACGUGAAACCGGUAAGAUGGAAACGGAUAGAGCCAGCGAAGUCGCUUGUAUUCAGCCAAAGACUCGGAGCUGUCCGCCGUCGUGUUUCUAAUAGAGCAUGGCGGUUGGCGUGCUCCGUUUUGAGGUGCAUUUGCGGGCGUUUGCGCUGAGACUUGCGGAGCAGCUUCUGGAACUUCGACUAGAGGCUUCCCUUUGGGUAGUACCUGGUCGCUGGUACAGUUGUUUGCUCUGUUCGUACCCGGACCUGGCUUACGGAGUCUGGUGGUGCCGUUGUCUUCUCGCGGUGGUAUCGCAUGCGAUGCCUAGCUUGGAGGCUUCGGUUCUGCUAGUAUUCCUCUGGUCCGCUCUCGGUGUAGAAGCUGGUUAUCUCUCCGACCCGUCUUGAAACACGGACCAAGGAGUUUAGCGUAUGCGCGAGCCAUUGGGUGCAAAACUCACAGGCAGAAUGAAAGUAAAGGUCCAGUUGCUGGACUGACAUGCGAACGUCAAGGCUCCGGCCCUGGUGUGCAGCAUGGUCCCUUUGCAGUCGCUUGCGACGCAGCGGAGACAGAGCGUAUGCGCUGAGACCCGAAAGAUGGUGAACUAUUCCUGAGCAGGACGAAGCCAGAGGAAACUCUGGUGGAAGUCCGAAGCGAUUCUGACGUGCAAAUCGAUCGUCUGACUUGGGUAUAGGGGCGAAAGACUAAUCGAACCAUCUAGUAGUGUUU
rnacentral:rRNA from 1 species